rnacentral:piRNA from 1 species
GGAGGAUCUGAAGAGGACAAUGA